CAGUUCGGUCCCUAUCUGCCGUGGGUGUAGGAUACUUGAGAGGAGUUGCCCCUAGUACGAGAGGACCGGGGUGAACGAUCCACUGGUGGACCUGUUGUUGCGCCAGCAGCAGUGCAGGGUAGCUAUGAUCGGAAAGGAUAACCGCUGAAGGCAUCUAAGCGGGAAGCCCCCCUCAAAACAAGGUAUCCCUGAGGGCCGUGGUAGACCACCACGUCGAUAGGCCGGAGAUGUAAGCGCAGCAAUGCGUUCAG
rnacentral:rRNA from 1 species